CGCCCAGCGUCCCUUGGGGACGGCCGCGGCGUCCAACCCCGCCGGGUGCGGGAAGGCAAACUUGACCGAACUUUCCCAACCCGGAGACUGGUGACGGUGACCUGGGAUACUUUAAGUCAGGAGGGAGGCAGAUGAACUCCAGAUGCAGCCUUGUAGGAAACGAAGCGGAUUGCAUUAAAACGUCUAUCAGUGGAGUCCGACAACUUUAAUUGUACACGCUUGUUUUCUGUUUCUGCCUACGUAAGAACGUGGACAUGUAGCUGAACAUUGGCGAGGUUUAUUUUUUAAGCAUCUUGGCAAAACUCCAUGGGAGAUGGAUUUGGUUUCCAGAGCGGUAUUAGGUUUUUAGGAACUCUCUGACACCACGAACCUGUGGGUGAUCAGCUACUUGAGGAUAUCAUGAGGAUGUUUAAUACUGUGACUUACAGAACUGGGGUUGGAAGUUUUCUUGUCAGUCUUUGUCAACGAACGUUAAGGUGUUGAUCUCAAAAAAGAAAAUUAGGUUUGAGAAACUUCAUUUGACUAUGGAAUGCCAAAGUUCAAGUAUAAGGCUAAACUCGUUCUUUUCUCCAGGCCCUGAAGAGGCCUUUUGAGUUGGUAUCCAGUUUAACGUCAUCUCUGUUCCCACAGACAACUCUUCUCAUCUUUCCACAGCCCCUGACCCAGAGAUCAGGUUGCCUGCAGAGCCAGCUCAGGCUAUGGCCCUGCCACCUGAGGGCAGAUCUCAGCUAGACUCAGACCCAGGUUGGACACUUAAUGCUGGUUUGCUUGAGACAAGACAGUUGUGCCCCUCCCAUGCCUCUACUACACCCUCAGUGAGCCGGGCCUGAGUUCUCAUCCCUCUGCUUGGUCUUGAAGCUCCUUGGGACGUGGACUGAGUGCCCAGGAAGAGAGCUUCUAAAGAUUGAGCUCUAUUUCGUUUCCUUAGCAGUCCCAAAGGCUUGUGGUAUGGAAGUGUCAGUGCUUUGGUGUUGCUAAGACUAGUUGGACAAGUUUUUGUCCUAUCCCAGACUUGUAAAAACCAGAAUUUUUUUUGUUGUCGUUGUUACAAGAAAAACACCGUUGUAUAAAUUUGUCUUUUAAAUACAUGUUUGAAAAGAGAACAGUUUCUAAAACAAGUUCAUCUAACUCCGUGAGCGAAGCUUUUGGGGCAUGGGGCCUGCCAGUGACUGGCUUCCCUUUGGGGCGUUAUUCCUACGUGGUAACUAGUGCUCCCCUUUAAGGAGUCUCUGCAAAAGUAACCUUGAAACAUUAUCCUCUUUUUCAAAAUCAGAAAAUAAUUCCGGUUUUGCCGAAAGUCCCAUUUCUCUGAUAGGUUUUAUUUUGUGUUUUCCUGUUAAGGCAGUAUUCCCCAGAAGUAGAUCAUUUUGAUUACAAUAUGUAUCCCGUCUUGUACCCUUUAGAAAAUGCGGAGGAAACAAAUCAUCAAGGAGUUCUACACAGCUGCUGUCUUUGUUUCCUUGGUUCUCUUAAUAUCGGUGUCUUUGAGAUUGGGUGUGGGAGGGGGUCACUUCACUGUCAGUGGAUUAAAGGUUUUUUCUCCAUGUGAAACUAUGUGUAGUGUUUUGUUUUGUUUUGUUUGAAAGGUGCAAGGCAGUGGAG